GGGCUGAGCUGUGAUGGCGAGCGAAAUAUAGUAGCGAAGUUCCUGAUUCCACACUGCCAAGAAAAGCCUCUAGCGAGGUGAGAGGUGCCCGUACCGCAAACCGACACAGGUAGGCGAGGAGAGAAUCCUAAGGUGAUCGAGAGAACUCUCGUUAAGGAACUCGGCAAAAUGACCCCGUAACUUCGGGAGAAGGGGUGCUCUGUUAGGGUGCAAGCCCGAGAGAGCCGCAGUGAAUAGGCCCAGGCGACUGUUUAGCAAAAACACAGGUCUCUGCGAAGCCGUAAGGCGAAGUAUAGGGGCUGACGCCUGCCCGGUGCUGGAAG
rnacentral:rRNA from 1 species